GUGGGGAAUAUUGGACAAUGGGGGGAACCCUGAUCCAGCCAUGCCGCGUGUGUGAAGAAGGCCUUUUGGUUGUAAAGCACUUUAAGCGAGGAGGAGGCUACCGAGAUUAAUACUCUUGGAUAGUGGACGUUACUCGCAGAAUAAGCACCGGCUAACUCUGUGCCAGCAGCCGCGGUAAUACAGAGGGUGCAAGCGUUAAUCGGAUUUACUGGGCGUAAAGCGCGCGUAGGUGGCCAAUUAAGUCAAAUGUGAAAUCCCCGAGCUUAACUUGGGAAUUGCAUUAGAUACUGGUUGGCUAGAGUAUGGGAGAGGAUGGUAGAAUUCCAGGUGUAGCGGUGAAAUGCGUAGAGAUCUGGAGGAAUACCGAUGGCGAAGGCAGCCAUCUGGCCUAAUACUGACACUGAGGUGCGAAAGCAUGGGGAGCAAACAGGAUUAGAUACCCGGGUAGUCC
rnacentral:rRNA from 1 species